AGUGAACGCUGGCGGUAGGCAUAACACAUGCAAGUCGAACGGCAGCACAGUAAGAGCUUGCUCUUACGGGUGGCGAGUGGCGGACGGGUGAGGAAUACAUCGGAAUCUACUUUUUCGUGGGGGAUAACGUAGGGAAACUUACGCUAAUACCGCAUACGACCUACGGGUGAAAGCAGGGGAUCUUCGGACCUUGCGCGAUUGAAUGAGCCGAUGUCGGAUUAGCUAGUUGGCGGGGUAAAGGCCCACCAAGGCGACGAUCCGUAGCUGGUCUGAGAGGAUGAUCAGCCACACUGGAACUGAGACACGGUCCAGACUCCUACGGGAGGCAGCAGUGGGGAAUAUUGGACAAUGGGCGCAAGCCUGAUCCAGCCAUACCGCGUGGGUGAAGAAGGCCUUCGGGUUGUAAGGCCCUUUUGUUGGGAAAGAAAAGCAGCAGGUUAAUACCCCGCUGUUCUGACGGUACCCAAAGAAUAAGCACCGGCUAACUUCGU
rnacentral:rRNA from 1 species